GACGAACGCUGGCGGCGUGCCUAACACAUGCAAGUCGAACGGACUACUUAGAUUCGUCUGAGUAGUUAGUGGCGGACGGGUGAGUAACGCGUGAGUAACCUGCCUUUCAGAGGGGGACAACAGCUGGAAACGGCUGCUAAUACCGCAUAAUGUACAGAUGCCGCAUGGUGACUGUACCAAAGAUUUAUCGCUGAAAGAUGGACUCGCGUCUGAUUAGCUAGUUGGUAGGGUAAUGGCCUACCAAGGCUUCGAUCAGUAGCCGGACUGAGAGGUUGAACGGCCACAUUGGGACUGAGAUACGGCCCAGACUCCUACGGGAGGCAGCAGUGGGGAAUAUUGGGCAAUGGGGGAAACCCUGACCCAGCAACGCCGCGUGAAGGAAGAAGGCUUUCGGGUUGUAAACUUCUUUGACGAGGGACGAAACAAAUGACGGUACCUCGAAAACAAGCCACGGCUAACUACGUG
rnacentral:rRNA from 1 species